rnacentral:rRNA from 1 species
UACAGAGGUCUCAAGCGUUGUUCGGAUUCAUUGGGCGUAAAGGGCGCGUAGGUGGCGCGGCAAGUCAGCGGUGAAAGCCCGAGGCUCAACUUCGGGUCGGCCGUUGAUACUGCUGUGCUUGAGCACUGUAGAGGCAGGUGGAAUUCCGGGUGUAGCGGUGGAAUGCGUAGAGAUCCGGAAGAACACCGGUGGCGAAGGCGGCCUGCUGGGCAGUUGCUGACACUGAGGCGCGACAGCGUGGGGAGCAAACAGG